rnacentral:rRNA from 1 species
AGUGAACGCUGGCGGUAGGCCUAACACAUGCAAGUCGAACGGCAGCACAGUAAGAGCUUGCUCUUACGGGUGGCGAGUGGCGGACGGGUGAGGAAUACAUCGGAAUCUACUUUUUCGUGGGGGAUAACGUAGGGAAACUUACGCUAAUACCGCAUACGACCUACGGGUUAAAGCAGGGGAUCUUCGGACCUUGCGCGAUUGAAUGAGCCGAUGUCGGAUUAGCUAGUUGGCGGGGUAAAGGCCCACCAAGGCGACGAUCCGUAGCUGGUCUGAGAGGAUGAUCAGCCACACUGGAACUGAGACACGGUCCAGACUCCUACGGGAGGCAGCAGUGGGGAAUAUUGGACAAAGGGCGCAAGCCUGAUCCAGCCAUACCGCGUGGGUGAAGAAGGCCUUCGGGUUGUAAAGCCCUUUUGUUGGGAAAGAAAAGCAGCAGGUUAAUACCCCGCUGUUCUGACGGUACCCAAACAAUAAGCACCGGCUAACUUCGUG